UAUGAUCGUUAGGAGUGCCGAAAGGCUGAGAGUAUAUCCUAGAACCUGAACUGAGUAAUAUCAGCGUAGGAAAACGAAACAAAAAUUGA
rnacentral:ncRNA from 2 species